UUAUUCUUAUAUUUUUCUCAGAAAAUAAGAAUCAAAGGUGCUUGCUUUUUAAUUUUUGUCCUCCGUUGCGUGUUUGUGACUUUGUGCACAUGCUCAGUAAGAAGUAGUACAAUUUCAAUUUUUCUGUACUAAAAUCUGAUCUAGUCUCAGGUUCAACUAUAGAUCAGAUUCGCUCUCUGCUCUGUAAUCAAAUACUCGUUGGCUCCAUUUUGGCUUCGUUCUCUUCUCUCUAAGAGAGAGAUGGAGUUGAUUGAGUUCAUUCAAGUUUUCACAUCAUCGUCAUCGCCAUCGGGACUCUGUUGUGCAUGUUGGGUAGAUCAUUGACAUUUUCUACGUCGACUUCUUCUUCUUCUGGUGCUGCUGAUGCUGUUGUUGAGGAUAACAAUGAUGAUGAUGAUGUUGCUAUCCCCCCUCUUCGAGAAAAGUAUGAUGUGUUUCUUAGUUUCAGAGGUGAGGACACUCGCCCUACUUUUACCAGCCAUCUUCGUGCUGCUUUGGAAAGGAAGAAAUUCGAAACCUACAUAGACGAAAAGCUGAAGCCAGGAGACGAAAUUGGACCCACCCUACUAAAAGCAAUCAAGAAAUCAAGGCUUUCGGUGAUAAUUUUCUCCAAAAACUAUGCGUCUUCCACAUGGUGUUUGAGUGAACUUGUGCAUAUACUCAAAUGCAGAAAGAAAAAAGGCCAGAUGGUUGUACCCAUUUUUUACGACAUCAAUCCAUCAGAUGUGCGAAAACAAGAGGGGAGUUAUGCAGAUGCAUUUGCUCAACUUGAAAAACGUUUCAAGGACGGUAUGGGCAAGGUGCGCAAGUGGAGGAAAGCUUUGAGGACUGCAGCCAAUAUUUCUGGGUUCGAUAAUUCAAACAAAAAAAGGACGGAGGCCGAUUUAAUUGAGAAACUUGUGGAAGAUAUUUCAACGAAAUUGAAACGUGAAACCUCAUAUGACUUAAAUGGCCUGGUUGGAAUUCAAAGCCGCAUCGAGCAAGUUGAAUCGUUAUUAAGCAAUAAUGAUUCGCAAGGUGUUUGCACUGUAGGCAUUUGGGGUAUGGGUGGCAUUGGAAAGACCACCCUUGCUCAGGCUGUGUUCAAGAGACUCUCUUCUAAGUUCGAAGCUUGUUGUUUUCUUAGCAAUGUUAGGGAGAAAGCAGAGCAAACAGAUGGAGUCAAUCAACUGAAAAAAACACUUCUUGAAGAGAUCUUAAACGAACGGUCUAUAGAUUCGACUUCUGUUCGAGAAAGGCUCAGCCGUACAAAGGUUCUCAUUGUUUUUGAUGAUGUUAGUGACUGGAGGCAAAUAAAAGAUGUAGCUGGAGACAAUCUUCGCUACAGCGAUGGAAGUAGAAUCAUUGUAACAAGUAGAGAAUGGAGCGUACUCAUGAAAGCUGUUAAAGAGAGAAAAUAUAUAUAUCAGGUUGAGAAAUUUAAAACUGAUGAUGCUCUUCGGCUCUUUCAAUCUCAUGCCUUCAAGGAUAACUCUCCUAGAGCAGAAUAUAGAGAGUUGUCCGCAAGGGUGGUAAAAUAUGCUGGAGGCAUUCCACUGGCUCUUGAAGUUUUGGGUUCCUUAUUGUUUCCAUGUGUGAGCAAAGACGAGUGGGAAGAUGUAUUGAGCACACUGAUAAAUUAUCCCAAUGAAGAAAUUCAAAAUACGUUCAGAGUAAGCUAUAAUAGAUUAGGAAGAAAUGCGCAGGACGUAUUUCUUGAUAUAGCAUGCUUUUAUAAAGGGGAGCGUAUUGAGGAUGUACAAAAGAUGGUAGACUUUGGCCAAAUGCAUGGUGGUUCAUGUGCGGCAGAUGGAAUUAGAGUUCUCCGUGAUAGGUCUCUCAUAUCGAUUGAUUCGGCAUGGAAAACCAUAGAGAUGCAUGAUUUGGUACAAGAAAUGGGUUGGGCAAUUGUUUGCGAACAAUGUAUUGAAGAGCCCGGCAAACGUAGUAGGCUGUUCAGAGCUGAAGAUGUCUAUCAUGUAUUGAAAAAUAACACGGGAACUGAAAAGGUUCAAGCCAUAUCCUUUAACAGGUCCAUCUUUGGGCCUGGGCACAACGUGGAUCGUGCAGACUUUAAAAAUAUGUAUAAUCUGAGAUUGCUCCGUCUUGAUAGUUAUUAUACACUUCACAUGUCUAUAGAUUUCUACAAAUUUGAGCUUACUCUAUCUCUUCCCAAUUCUCUUUGUUAUCUUUCCUGGAAGGGAUGUCCUUUGAAAUCUUUGCCCCCAGAAUUUUCUCUUGAAAAUCUUGUUGAGCUUCAUAUGCCCUACAACAGAGUCACGCAACUUUGGGAUGGAGGCCAGAAUCCUAUCAACUUAAAAGUGCUCAAUCUUCAUUCCUCCUUGUGUCUGACUGCACUUCCACACCUCUCGAGGAGUCCAAAUAUCGAGCACAUGGAUCUUUCUGGAUGUAAAAGUUUGGUUGAAAUUCCUCAGUAUUUUAAAAAUCUUAACAAACUUACUUAUCUUGAUCUUUCAAUGUGCGAGCGUCUCGAAUAUCUUCCAGAGAUGCCAGGCAAUAUUGAAUUCUUAAGAUUACAAGGCAGUGGCAUAAAGGAGUUGCCGUCAUCAGUUUGGUCUCAUGAAAAAAUUUCUUCCUUGGAUAUUACAUUUUGUGAAGAACUUAAGGAACUUCCAAGCAACACUUGCAAGCUGAAAGUCUCUGGUGCUUUUAGUCUAUAUGGCUGCUGCUCUCUUGAAAAGGUUUGGGAGCUUCCCAGGGGUAUUGGUGAAUUAGAUUGGUCUCGCACAGCAAUAAAAGUAUUGCCCACAUCAUCAAUGGAGCGUCUCUCUUGUCUCACCAGACUUAAACUGCAUUGUUGCAUUUAUCUUGCAAGUCUCCCACGGAGCAUUUGUAAGUUGAAAUCUCUUGAGGAACUUGAUCUCACUGGUUGCUAUGAACUAAAAGUUGUUCCAAGUAGCAUCUACAAAUUAACAAAUAUCAAAAUGCUCAGCUUUAGUUACUGUCGGAAACUUCGAAAUUUUACUCAGCCGACUGGCUCAGUUGGUUUUCUCUCUCUUGAAGUACUAGACCUCAAAUACAGCGGUAUAUUAGAAAUCCCUGAGGGCUUCAUUUGCUCAACCUCAUUACGGGUUCUUAAGCUGGAAGGAACCAAAAUUCGGAGCAUACCCUCAAGCAUUAAACAAGCUCCUCAGCCGACUGGCUCAGUUGGUUUUCUCUCUCUUGAAGUACUAAACCUCAAAUACAGCGGUAUAUUAGAAAUCCCCGAGGGCUUCAUUUGCUCAACCUUAUUACGGGCUCUUAAGCUGGAAGGAACCAAAAUUCGGAGCAUACCCUCAAGCAUGAAACAAGCUUCUCAGCUGUCUUGCCUGUGCUUAAUCGGCUGCACGAGGCUUCAAUCUUUACCAGAGCUCCCAAUGCUCAGUUGUCUUCAAGCAAAUGGCUGCAAGUCACUGAAGACAGUGUCGAGUUCAAGGACUGCAAUUACACAAUGUUGGAAUAGAUGUGAAUUACUUCAAGAGCUACUUGACUUUUCGGGUUGCCCAAGGUUGGGUGAUGAUGCAAGGAGCAGCAUAAUGGUUGAUGCACAGCUUAGAAUCAUGCGAGUGGCAACUGCGGCUUCAAAGUUAAAAGAAGAGGAAGAUUACGAUGAGUCUUCUGAGCCCUUUGUUAUCAUUGUGUGUCCGGGAUCUGAACUUCCAAAUUGGUUCGUACAUCAAAAUGAGGGGGCUUCAAUAAAUGUCACACUUCCUGCAAAUUGGUUUCGUGAAGGCUUCUUGGGUUUCGCUCUAUCUGUUGUUACAGCCAAAGCAUUAUUGUUCUGUGAAUACAUGUUCACUUUCAAAACUGAAGAGGGGGAAAGUCUUGAAAUCAAUUGUGUGCGCGAUGUUCUGGAAACCGAACCUUCAGAGAAUGUGUGGGUAUGGUAUACAGAACUUGAAUAUGAAGAGGGAGCAAACUGGUCCUCUGCUUUUUUCGACCGUGUCACUAAGGUCUCUGUUCACUUCCAACCGAAAACAUUAUUCGAUCAUGAAGUGAAAAAGUGUGGGAUAUGCCUGUUGUAUGCCGAAGAUGCUGAGAAAUUAAAAUUUGAUGUCAUGUCGCUACAAGAACAAUAUGAGCCUGCAGCAAGUAGGAGUGGUGAUCCUGAAGCCAGUGGAAGUGAUGAAUCUGAGGAAUUAAGUGGAAGCGAUGAAUCUGAGGAAGCAAGUGGAAGCGAUGACUAUGAGGGAGAAAGUGGAAGCGACGAGGAAGCAAGCGAUGAGUCUGAGGAAGCAAGUGGAAGCGAUGACUAUGAGGGAGAAAGUGGAAGCGACGAGGAAGCAAGUGAUGAGUCUGAGGAAGCAAGUGGAAGAGAUAAGUAGGAGCAAGCAAGUGGACAUGACGAGUCUUUUGCUGGUUCAAGCCUCUCCUAAACUUCAAUCAAAGAAAUAGUUAAAGAUAGAAAAUCGAGUUCAUCCAGUAUUCAACCACAAUUCCACAAUACAAUAGAAGGUACAACUUUGCAGCGCUACCACAUUUAUGACCUUACUAUAUGAUCUACUUUCUUGGGGCUCAUUUGAUGUCUAGGACUCGGUAGACUCAAACAGCGUUGAAUAAAAAAUGGAUGUACACUUGCAUACUUUGUCACUAGCUAGUGUUGUUAGUUUACAUGCUCUUUUGUGUGUGCUGUGUGGAUUUGCAGGUUAUGAGUUAUAUAUAGAUACAUCAUAGCUAUAAUCUAUGCCAAGAACAUUUGCAUAUUGCGACUUGUCGGUUUUCUUAGGUAAUGGAUACGACUGCUUCUUUGCUUUUGCUAU